UUUUUUUUUUUUUGUAAAAUAUCAUAAUUUUAUUAAAAUCUGCACUAAUGGCAGAAAUUACAUCAUCAAACAUAUACAAAUAUCAAAGAACAGAUCUGAAAAAAGGAUACUCCAGAUCUGAAGAACAAUAACAGUUAUAUUAUAAAGUUCCUAAUUUAAAAAAUGAGAUAAAAUAAUUGUAACUCCACAGACAUCUCUGUAUAUGCUUCCAAUCGUCAGAUCUGCUGAUUAACUUCUUCAAGUCUAGAUAUUAUGAUGAGAUCUAACGAAUAGAUCCAAGAAAUUCUAGAUCUGGCAAUUGAAAUCUGAAGAAACUCAGAUUUAAUAAAAAAAAGUUAAAAAAUUAUCAAAGUGAAAAAUGGUGACAGUUACACCUAGUCAUAUUAUAUUUCUUCGUUUGGUUGUGGUAUUGGGCUUUAUUCCCUAUACCCUAUGUCAUGGAUUUCAAACUCAGACUAGAUUGGGCGGUUGAAAUGAUUGAAUUGUCAACCAGUCAUCUGUUUGGUCCGGUUAGGCACCCUAGCCGGGAGGAUGGAACCAAAAAGAAUCAUUGACCCAUUAGUUCAAGCGCUAAACUACAAUGAAUCGGGACAAUUUGAGAUCAUCAGUUGUCUCUUUACUCUUGCUGUAUUUGAUGUCACAACUUUCAAAUUUAGUCAAAUUUCCACCAUUAAAUGAUAAUCUAUAUUAAAUGGCAGCCAAUUACCACUGCAUAUUAUCUUCAAUCGUCUCACAAAAAAUAUUUAUACAUUUAUUACUCGUAUACUUUCUUUUUAUACUCUUUUUAACCCUUCAAGAAACAAAAGUUAUUUAUAUAGUACAUUUUACCAAUGUCUCUAAUUUUUGUUAAAAAAAAUAGAGGUAGUCUUAUAUAUACUGAUAAUGUAUGUACUAUCAUGAUUGAAUGCAUGAUACAUAUGUAAAAUUUGAAUUUCAAAAUUCAAAUUCAAAUUUUGUGGUCCAUGUUCUUUUUGAAUUGUUAGUAUUUUCUUCUUUUUUGCUAUUUUUUAUUUUCAUUUAAUCAUUUUUCAUAGUUUAAAUAUUUAAUUUAUAUUAUUAGUAUUUUUUUGAAUAAUUGUGACAUCACAAGUCAAUAACGACUGGUUUAACGAUCGAAUCACUAACCAUUAACCUUUUUGAGUCAAUGAACAGGUAUGGAUUUCAAAACGUUGCUAUACGUGUAGAAUACAAUCUUUCAUCAUCAAUAGAAAUCCAAUCUCUUGCCUAAAAACAAUACAACAAAACACACUACCAAGAAGGCUCGUAUUCAAAUUUUCCUUUCCCAUCUUCACUUUUUAAAUCCCUCCCCUCACUUCUUAAAUCCCUAAAAAAUGGUGAAAAAAAUCAAUCACAAAAGUACACUAGUAAACUAAGAUUGCGAAAGAAGGAUUGGCCAUUUUUUCAAAAACAAGUUUUUCAAAUACAAUCCUACAAUAAUACACAAAUAAAAUUAACUCAAAAAACAUCUCAUCCAUACAAUAUACCAAAUGUUUCAAAAAAAUUUUAUAGUAAAAAUUUUUCAUAUACACUACUACAGUAAAAUUUUUCAAAAACAGCUCCAUAAAAUUUUUCAAAAACAACUCCAUAAACAGUUAAUCCAAACGAAACAAAUAUAACCAGCAACAUGUAUACUUUUGUCUAGAGAAAAGACACUGUUUCGUCAAAGUUUCAACUACCAUGCAAGAGAGAACAGUCGUUUCAGUGGAAGUAGCAAUAUUUAGUUUGCCUACUUUAUUCAAAAUGAACUAUUUCUGAACUUUUUUAUGGUGAUAAUUUCAUAAUUUGAGUUGCAUAACGAAUUAUCAAAGGACUCCUUGCACCUUUUCCUCUCCCAGUUGUACCAUGGUUCUGGUUUUAUACACCAGUUGUUGUUCAACAUAGAAAUUAUGAACCUAAACUUUCUUUACUUAAACAGCCUAAAGAGUUGCAUUAUGAAAUGUCUCCAUCCAAAGGUUCACAAAAAGUGGUUCCUAUGUUGAAUUAUUCUCAGGAAAGAUCAUCUUCUAGCACAUACAUAAAAAAAAGGGCAUCUGUCAAAUAAAACAGGAAAAAGAAGUAAACAACAACUAUGGAUUGCUAGCCCUCAAAUUUUCUAUUGCAUGCCCAUCGCACAAAUUUAAGAAUGAUGACAAAACCCCGAUAGACAAAUCUGAUGGCAAUGAUUU
rnacentral:lncRNA from 1 species